ACUAGAAGCUCUUGGGAGCAUGUGGACAGUUGUGGCUGCUCCUGAGCUGACACUAACUGCUCAUGACUCCUCUGUGGGAGAAGUAGGUGGUUUCCUAGAGGAAGAAGUUUGGGUAAUGAAGCCACAGAGAUUUGCUGAUACAUUUGCUAGGCACGACUUCUGGUCAUUUAGAAAGCUAUUUUGUGGCUUCAUCAAUAAGGUAUUCCCCAGCUGUGUUACUCCUUCGCAUUGUUAUCUCUUUCCCUGGAAUUGAAGGCUUCCUGGUCUGAGGCAAGGACAAUUAUUCCCUCACUGUCAACCCUGAUCUCUGGCUGCAGUAAUGAGUAGAGGAAAUGAAGAAAUAAGAAUGGAAGCAUAAUCAUUUGUCCGAGGUCACAGAGGGAGAUGAUUACACAGCUGGAAUUAGUUCGGAAGAAUGUGAAGAAUUCUCCCAGAAUUUUUCAAGAUAUUCCAAGUACCUAUUUAUUUUAUAAUCCUUGAAGACUUACUAAGUACCCAUAAACUGGUUGAGGAAAGCCAGUUUCAAAAUAAAUAUGAAAUCAUAUUUAUUUUUCUCUGAUUAAUCAAGGUCAUCAUGUUUUUAGAUGCCCUGCAAAGAAAACUGGUCAAAAUGUAAGACUGGCCCUCACAUUAAAUCAUCCAAACUAGUAACACUCCUCUAAAGGACUUCCCUCUUGGAACAUUCUUGACUUUCACAUAAUCAGUAGGCAACCUCCUUAGUCAAGGAGUCCUCUCUAACUGGCAAACCUAUCAUUUGGAAGAAUGAUCUUUUCUUCCUCCUUGCUGACUUUAGUUUCAGACAGCUAAUUACAAGUCCUUGUUCCUCCGUGACCUAGACCUGUGACUUAAGGCAAAUUACAAUACCUUUUUUUCAUGCCUAAUUUUAUUUAAAGAUUUGAAAACUGU
rnacentral:lncRNA from 10 species